rnacentral:rRNA from 1 species
UCUACCUACGGGACGCAGCAGUGAGGAAUAUUGGUCAAUGGGCGAGAGCCUGAACCAGCCAAGUCGCGUGAAGGAUGACGGCCCUAUGGGUUGUAAACUUCUUUUAUAUGGGAAUAAAGUUUUCCACGUGUGGAAUUUUGUAUGUACCAUAUGAAUAAGGAUCGGCUAACUCCGUGCCAGCAGCCGCGGUAAUACGGAGGAUCCGAGCGUUGUCCGGAUUAUUGGGUUUAAAGGGAGCGUAGGUGGAUUGUUAAGUCAGUUGUGAAAGUUUGCGGCUCAACCGUAAAAUUGCAGUUGAAACUGGC